CCAAGACUUUUACCCGUGAAAAUGCUACCCUUCUGGGUAGCACCUUUAACAAAAUACUGGUGGAGCUCACAUGUUAGGUUUAGGACGCUAAACCUAACUAGUGCAGGCUCUACCUCCCAAAACUACUAAUGAAAUAACAACCUGAAUCUCAAAGAGGAUGUGGCGAUAUGAUUGGGUUCUCCUGAUUUAUCUCUGCCCCUCUUGAUAAAAUAUAGUACAACUUUCAGCAAUGGAUGUCUAGGUUCCCACAACGAUGAAGAACGCAGCGAAAUGCGAUACGUUAUGCGAAUUGCCCGAUCUCGUGAAUCAUCAAAACUUUGAACGCACAUUGCGCUCCAGGGUCACGCCCGGGAGCAUACUCAUUUGAGUGUUUGUAACCCCAACUCAGCCGUUUAUGUAUAUUCGUUAUACAUCAUCGAGUUGAAAUUAUGGUGUGUGUCUUUCAUUAGACUCCACUGAAGUAUUGGAUCCUUAGUGUGAUAGCAGGACAUAUUUUGUUCCUUGCCCUGAGAUAAGGUUGAUCUGGUAAAUGCACUUAGUUGUGUUAUUGACGAUCGCUUUUCCCUCUUGCCUGCAAGUUACAGAUGAAAUUCCUUGUUGUUUGGUCCAUGGAGUAGCCACCUGUCUAUCCUUGUGGUAGCUGUGAGCACUCUUUGAUUUUUUAAUCAGAUCUCAGAUUGAGUAAGACUACCC
rnacentral:rRNA from 1 species